rnacentral:misc_RNA from 1 species
GACUCUCGGCAACGGAUAUCUUGGCUCUCGCAUCGAUGAAGAACGUAGCGAAAUGCGAUACUUGGUGUGAAUUGCAGAAUCCCGUGAAUCAUCGAGUCUUUGAACGCAAGUUGCGCCCCAGGCCGUCAGGCCGAGGGCACGCCUGCCUGGGCGUCACGCACCGAGUCGCCCCCACCCCCCGAGAUCCCUCGGGACGGCGGGAGCGUAGAAUGGCCCCCCGUGCCCCUUCCGGCGGCGCGGUCGGCCCAAACACAGGCCCCGGGAGGCCGACGUCACGAUCCGUGGUGGUUGUAAAAGACACGCAUGUCGGAUCACGUGGACGCCGCGCUGCACCGGGCCACUGCGACCCCCCGAGGGCCGUCCCCGGACGGCACCCACUCU